rnacentral:rRNA from 1 species
GAUGAACGCUGGCGGCGUGCCUAAUACAUGCAAGUCGAGCGAACGGACGAGAAGCUUGCUUCUCUGAUGUUAGCGGCGGACGGGUGAGUAACACGUGGAUAACCUACCUAUAAGACUAGGGUAACUUCGGGAAACCGUAGCUAAUACCGGAUAAUAUUUUGAACCGCAUGGUUCAAAAGUGAAAGACGGUCUUGCUGUCACUUAUAGACGGAUCCGCGCUGCAUUAGCUAGUUGGUAAGGUAACGGCUUACCAAGGCAACGAUGCAUAGCCGACCUGAGAGGGUGAUCGGCCACACUGGAACUGAGACACGGUCCAGACUCCUACGGGAGGCAGCAGUAGGGAAUCUUCCGCAAUGGGCGAAAGCCUGACGGAGCAACGCCGCGUGAGUGAUGAAGGUCUUCGGAUCGUAAAACUCUGUUAUUAGGGAAGAACAUAUGUGUAAGUAACUGUGCACAUCUUGACGGUACCUAAUCAGAAAGCCACGGCUAACUACGUG